ACUACGAGCCAAGCUUAAAACCCAAAGGACUUGACGGUACCCCACAUCCCCCUAGAGGAGCCUGUCCUAUAACCGAUAAUCCACGUUUAACCUCACCAUUCUUAGUUAAUCAGCCUGUAUACCUCCGUCGUCAGCUUACCACGUGAGCGCCAAUUAGUGAGCCUAAUGUACCCCACCAAAACGUCAGGUCAAGGUGCAGUAAAUAAAAUGGAAAGAGAUGGGCUACACUUUCUACUUUAGAAGAAACGAAAAACUACCUAUGAAAUCUAGUUAGAAGGUGGAUUUAGUAGUAAAAAGGAAUCAGCAUGUCCAUUUUAACCCGGUA
rnacentral:rRNA from 1 species